rnacentral:rRNA from 1 species
GCGAGUGGCGAACGGGUGAGUAAUAUAUCGGAACGUGCCCAGUCGUGGGGGAUAACGUAGAGAAAUUUACGCUAAUACCGCAUACGAUCUAAGGAUGAAAGCGGGGGACCGUAAGGCCUCGCGCGAUUGGAGCGGCUGAUAUCAGAUUAGGUUGUUGGUGAGGUAAAAGCUCACCAAGCCGACGAUCUGUAGCUGGUUUGAGAGAACGACCAGCCACACUGGAACUGAGACACGGUCCAGACUCCUACGGGAGGCAGCAGUGGGGAAUAUUGGACAAUGGGCGCAAGCCUGAUCCAGCCAUGCCGCGUGUGUGAAGAAGGCCUUCGGGUUGUAAAGCACUUUUGUUGGGGAAGAAAUCCCGGGGAUCAAUACUUCCCGGUGCUGACGGUACCCAAAGAAUAAGCACCGGCUAACUUCGUGCCAGCAGCCGCGGUAAUACGAAGGGUGCAAGCGUUACUCGGAAUUACUGGGCGUAAAGCGUGCGU